rnacentral:rRNA from 1 species
UACGCAGGUCGCGAACGUUGCGCGAAUUUACUGGGCGUAAAGGGUCCGUAGGCGGUUUAGCAAGUGGUUGGUGAAAUUUCACGGCUCAACCGUGAAACUGCCUUCCAAACUGUUAAGCUUGAGGCAGGUAGAGGUUAGCGGAAUUCCCGGUGUAGAGGUGAAAUGCGUAGAUAUCGGGAGGAACACCAGUGGCGAAGGCGGCCGACUGGGACUGUCCUGACGCUGAGGGACGAAAGCUAGGGGAGCAAACCGG